AUGGACUUGGUGUGUUGGCUAUGGGCUGUGCAUCAGUCCUCCUUCCGCUGACUUCUAGAAAACAUUUUGAGCAUAAGCGGGUUCCUUGAGAAUGCAUCGAUACAUAAUAUUCUGGAGCCAGUGGAGAACUGAGCUAUCUGUAAUUUCAAGCAUGGCCAGGCUCUCUAGUAAUUUGGCGAUAACUCUUCUGUGAUGUUUGAGGACUUAGAAGAGUGAUCAACAGCGAAGUGCGAUUUUGCCAAGUAACUGCCCAAAGUUGUGCCAGAGCUGGUGGGUUACGUAUGAUGUGUUCAAGUUCGGGAUUCAGGAGAUUAUUACAAUGUGGCGCGACUUGGCGCUAGAAAAUCGGAACGUGCAGGGAGGAAAAGAGAGCAAGGAACAUAGUGUACAUGAGUUUUCAGCAGCGCAAGGUGACAAUCAGGAGAGCGAUGCGGAGUUGCUGCCUUUUCAUGUGAAGGAAUGCUAUGUGUAAAUGGUACAAACCCUGGAUCAAUUUGGGAUCUUUCUUAGAUUAGCUGUAAUGCUCGAGGGUUGCUAUUGGAUUGCAAUUGGGGUGCUGAAAGCUGACCCUAAUUCUACCCCUCCUAGUACCAAACCAUGUCUUUGAUUGAAACGGUUGUUCACUUGCUGAUGAGCGUUGACGAACUGUUUAGUUCGGCAUAUAUUUGGGCAAUCAGACAGCGCUUUCUAUGAGCGAAUUUGAGUUACAAAAUCUUGCCGUUGUGUGAUAGUUUAGAAAAAAUAGUUUAGAUCUAUUUCUAAAAGUGCACCACAUGAUGUUCUGUUGUUCUGGUGGUGCAAGGUCAGAAUUAUCUGUGGGCCGUAAUGGUUUAGGUGUCACAUUAGAGAACUUCUUGAAUUGAUUCUAUGUUGGAUGUAGCAAUGCGUUUCUGUACUUCAACGUGUGCAAAUCUCUCAGUGGGUUACAUGUUUUACCGAAGGCAUGGUUUUUAUAUCGUGCUCCGGUUUGACGUUCCCUGAUAGUUUGUAUGCAGUGAUCAAUUGUCUUUCUCGUG